rnacentral:rRNA from 1 species
GACCGUCCCAGUUCGGAUUGCAGGCUGCAACCCGCCUGCAUGAAGUUGGAAUCGCUAGUAAUCGCGGAUCAGCAUGCCGCGGUGAAUACGUUCCCGGGCCUUGUACACACCGCCCGUCACACCAUGAGAGUCGGGAACACCCGAAGUCCGUAGCCUGACCGCGAAGGGGGGCGCGGCCGAAGGUGGGUUCGAUAAUUGGGGUGAAGUCGUAACAAGGUAUC